rnacentral:rRNA from 1 species
GACGAACGCUGGCGGCGUGCUUAACACAUGCAAGUCGAACGGAAAGGCCCUGCUUUUGUGGGGUGCUCGAGUGGCGAACGGGUGAGUAACACGUGAGUAACCUGCCCUUGACUUUGGGAUAACUUCAGGAAACUGGGGCUAAUACCGGAUAGGAGCUCCUGCUGCAUGGUGGGGGUUGGAAAGUUUCGGCGGUUGGGGAUGGACUCGCGGCUUAUCAGCUUGUUGGUGGGGUAGUGGCUUACCAAGGCUUUGACGGGUAGCCGGCCUGAGAGGGUGACCGGCCACAUUGGGACUGAGAGACGGCCCAGACUCCUACGGGAGGCAGCAGUGGGGAAUAUUGCACAAUGGGCGGAAGCCUGAUGCAGCAACGCCGCGUGCGGGAUGACGGCCUUCGGGUUGGAAACCGCUUUCGCCUGUGACGAAGCGUGAGUGACGGUAAUGGGUAAAGAAGCACCGGCUAACUACGUG